rnacentral:rRNA from 1 species
UCUCCGUUGGUGACCAGCGGAGGGAUCAUUACCGAGUUUACAAUUCCCAAACCCAAUGUGAACGUUACCAAACUGUUGCCUCGGCGGGGUCACGCCCCGGGUGCGUCGCAGCCCCGGAACCAGGCGCCCGCCGGAGGAACCAACCAAACUCUUUCUGUAGUCCCCUCGCGGACGUAUUUCUUACAGCUCUGAGCAAAAAUUCAAAAUGAAUCAAAACUUUCAACAACGGAUCUCUUGGUUCUGGCAUCGAUGAAGAACGCAGCGAAAUGCGAUAAGUAAUGUGAAUUGCAGAAUUCAGUGAAUCAUCGAAUCUUUGAACGCACAUUGCGCCCGCCAGUAUUCUGGCGGGCAUGCCUGUCCGAGCGUCAUUUCAACCCUCGAACCCCUCCGGGGGAUCGGCGUUGGGGAUCGGGACCCCUCACACGGGUGCCGGCCCCGAAAUACAGUGGCGGUCUCGCCGCAGCCUCUCUGCGCAGUAGUUUGCACAACUCGCACCGGGAGCGCGGCGCGUCCACGUCCGUAAAACACCCAACUUUCUGAAAUGUUGACCUCGGAUCAGGAGGAAA